rnacentral:lncRNA from 1 species
UUUAAGAUUCUUUUCGGUGGGCUUAAAAUUAAUUUAAGUUCUCAUCAAUUAGAAUCGAGUCAAUAGGUAGCCAAUCGCACUUAGUAAAAAAGAUUGGUGGCGACUCUUAGUUUAAUUUUUUAGUGAGUUUUCACAUUCGCGUCUGGCAGUCGGGUUCCCGGACCUGCACGUUAUGACAAAUCGCACCUAGUAAAAACGAUUGGUGGCGACUCUUAGUUUUUAAAGUUUUCACACCACGUCUGGCGAUCGGGUUCCCGGAC